rnacentral:rRNA from 1 species
GACGAGGGGUCCUAGCGUUGUUCGGAAUCACUGGGCGUAAAGCGUAUGUAGGCGGGCUUUUAAGUCAGGUGUGAAAUCCCAUGGCUCAACCAUGGAAUUGCAUUUGAAACUGGAAGUCUUGAGUGUGGGAGAGAUUGGUAGAAUACCUAGUGUAGUGGUGAAAUACGUAGAUAUUAGGUGGAAUACCGGUGGCGAAGGCGGC